AUUGAACGCUGGCGGCAGGCCUAACACAUGCAAGUCGAACGAGUGGCGGACGGGUGAGUAAGUUCUGGGAAACUGCCUGAUGGAGGGGUAUAACUACUAGAAACGGUAGCUAAUACCGCAUACCAUCAGAUGUGCCCAGAUGGGUUUAGCUUGUUUGUGGGGUAACGGCUCACCAAGGCGACGAUCCCUAGCUGGUCUGAGAGGCUGCACAGCCACACUGGAACUGAGACACGGCCCAGACUCCUACGGGAGGCAGCAGUGGGGAAUAUUGCACAAUGGGCGCAAGUCUGAUGCAGCCAUGCCGCGUGUAUGAAGAAGGCUUUCGGGUUGUAAAGUACUGUCAGCGGGGAGGCGUUACCCGCAGAAGAAGCACCGGCUAACUACGUGCCAGCAGCCGCGGUAAUAC
rnacentral:rRNA from 1 species